rnacentral:rRNA from 1 species
CGCGUAGGUGGUAGUGUAAGUCUGGGGUGGAAUCCCAGGGCUCAACCCUGGAACUGCCUUGGAAACUGCAUUACUUGAGUCAGUGAGGGGAGGGUAGAAUUCCUGGUGUAGCGGUGAAAUGCGUAGAUAUCAGGAGGAAGGCCUGUGGCGAAGGCGGCCCUCUGGCGCUGGACUGACACUGAGGCGCGAAAGCGUGGGGAGCAAACAGGAUUAGAUACCCCGGUAGUCCACGCCCUAAACGGUGGGCACUAGGUGUAGGGCUCGUAAGGGUUCUGUGCCGAAGGGAAACCAUUAAGUGCCCCGCCUGGGGAGUACGGCCGCAAGGUUGAA